rnacentral:misc_RNA from 1 species
CAAAUCGCACGCCGCCAGCGACCUCGCGACCCGACCCGACCCAGCCAGCAGCAGCAGGAGGGGAGGAGGGGAGGGAGGGAGAGGGAGAGGGAGAGGUGGAGCACAUUGACGCAUGUAGAGUAGGACAGAGAGAGAGUGGGGGAGGAGAGAGA